UGGUGUUCUGUGUUCCAUAGAUUCUGAA
rnacentral:piRNA from 1 species